GACGGAGGGGGCAAGCGUUGUUCGGAAUUAUUGGGCGUAAAGGGCUCGUAGGCGGACCGGUGUGUCUGGCGUGAAAUCUCCACCGCUUAACAGGGAGGGGCCGCUGGAAACUGCCGAUCUUGAGUAUGGUAGAGGACCAUGGAAUUCCGGGUGUAGCGGUGGAAUGCGUAGAUAUCCGGAAGAACACCGGUGGCGAAAGCGGCUCUCUGGGACGGUACUGACGCUGAGACGCGAAAGCGUGGGGAGCAAACAGG
rnacentral:rRNA from 1 species